UCUUGAGAGCGGCGGACGGGUGAGUAAUGCCUAGGAAUCUGCCUGGUAGUGGGGGAUAACGUCCGGAAACGGACGCUAAUACCGCAUACGUCCUACGGGAGAAAGCAGGGGACCUUCGGGCCUUGCGCUAUCAGAUGAGCCUAGGUCGGAUUAGCUAGUUGGUGGGGUAAUGGCUCACCAAGGCGACGAUCCGUAACUGGUCUGAGAGGAUGAUCAGUCACACUGGAACUGAGACACGGUCCAGACUCCUACGGGAGGCAGCAGUGGGGAAUAUUGGACAAUGGGCGAAAGCCUGAUCCAGCCAUGCCGCGUGUGUGAAGAAGGUCUUCGGAUUGUAAAGCACUUUAAGUUGGGAGGAAGGGCAGUAAAUUAAUACUUUGCUGUUUUGACGUUACCGACAGAAUAAGCACCGGCUAACUCUGUGCCAGCAGCCGCGGUAAUACAGAGGGUGCAAGCGUUAAUCGGAAUUACUGGGCGUAAAGCGCGCGUAGGUGGUUCGUUAAGUUGGAUGUGAAAUCCCCGGGCUCAACCUGGGAACUGCAUUCAAAACUGACGAGCUAGAGUAUGGUAGAGGGUGGUGGAAUUUCCUGUGUAGCGGUGAAAUGCGUAGAUAUAGGAAGGAACACCAGUGGCGAAGGCGACCACCUGGACUGAUACUGACACUGAGGUGCGAAAGCGU
rnacentral:rRNA from 1 species